GUUGUGGCUCAGUGGGAGAGUGUUUGCCUGGCAUGUAUGAGGCCCUGGGUUCAAUUCUCAGCACAACA
rnacentral:tRNA from 1 species